rnacentral:rRNA from 1 species
AGGCUUGAACAGCGAGUGACCAUUCCUGAAAAGGAACUUCCGCAAGGACACUCGUAGAGGUGCUGCAUGGCUGUCGUCAGCUCGUGUCGUGAGAUGUUGGGUUAAGUCCCGCAACGAGCGCAACCCUUGUUUGCUGUUGCCAUCAGGUAAAGCUGGGCACUCUGCAAAGACUGCCGGUGAUAAACCGGAGGAAGGUGGGGAUGACGUCAAGUCAGCAUGGCCUUUAUGUCUGGGGCUACACACGUGCUACAAUGGCCGGUACAAACCGUCGCAAAACCGUAAGGUCGAGCUAAUCGGAGAAAGCCGGUCUCAGUUCGGAUCGUAGGCUGCAACUCGCCUGCGUGAAGUUGGAAUCGCUAGUAAUCGCGGAUCAGCACGCCGCGGUGAAUACGUUCCCGGGCCUUGUACACACCGCCCGUCACAUCACGAAAGCCGGUUGUACUAGAAGUCGCCAUACCAACCCGCAAGGGAGGGAGGCGCCUAAGGUAUGGUCGGUGAUUGGGGUGAAGUCGUAACAAGGUAAGCGUAGUGCU